CCCCUGGGGCUGUUUGCCGUCUUGCCUUGGCUGAUCGCCGCUGGUCAGGGUAAGCGCAGCUCCUUCCCUCCCAAUUCCUCCGUCCAACUUCCUUCGCAUCACUCAGUUCCGGGAACAACGUGAAGAUACUGGCGCCGCCUGCACUGCGGCCAUCUUAGAAGAGGGCACGUAAGCAAAUGACAAUUCACAGAGUACUGGCACCGCGUGCAGCGCGGUCAUUUCGGGGAAGGGCAAGGAGGCGCUGCGUUCCAGCGGACACCCGCUGCCCCAUCGCGCGCGCGCUUUGAAAUAUGUUUGCUAACUGCGGUGCAUGUUUGGGGGAGCGCGAGAAAGAGAGAGAGGCGCCGCCGGGGUGCCGCUAGGGGCUCUCCUCUCUGUGCCUGUUGGAUUCGUGCCAACCCGGUCCGUUUGGGCCGGCGCAGGGCGAUGGGGUGGGCUCACUGGGCUGCGGGGGAUGGAGGUGCAAAGCUUCACAACAGACACGGAGAUCUGCGCUUUUUCUCCGGCUGCAGCCCUCUCCCCUUGGGGUGGGAGAGGGAGGUGUUUUGUUUACACCACCACGAGGCCGCCGCUCUUGCUCUCUGGACACUGUCAGCUACACCGUCGGGUGGCGGUGCUAAUUAGUUUUGUUCCCGGAGAGGAUGCAACAACUGGGCUGACGAGUGGUGCAGUCAUUACCUACCCCUCUUCCUCCCCCAGCGCCCGCCGGUCUCACUUUCAUUGUUUACUCAUUUGCCGAAAAAUGAGAUGCCAGCCAAACUCCACGAGUUUCCUAGGUAGCCUGAUGAGGGGCCAAGCGGUUUGGGCUUCAUGGACAUUAUUCGAGGUAGACAAAAACAAGCCAGCUGGAAGCGAAAGAUCACAAGGCAUUAUUAUAAUGAAAAGGAUUCUGAAAACUGGGGAAAGACCCGAGUGCUCUGAGAGGAAGGCGGGAAAGGAGCCAGGGAGGAGCUCUUGUCCUGAAAAGAGCCAACAGCCUGAGACAAGGUGACGGGGGCAUGCGUUCCAAUUUCGAUUUUUACUCAGCUGAAGCCGACCCGGCUGUGAGUGAAGUCGCUUAGCAGAAGUAGCAGCAGCAGCAGCCCGUCUGGGAACCGAAGUCCAAAUCUGAGAGAGUGGUGUGCCGGCCUGUCCAGGAUUUUCAGCCGCCCCCACCACCCCAGACUCUGGGAUGCAGACAGAGGCAAAGCAUGAGGAGCAAAUCUCUCUUUUUCUGUUUUCGGGGAGGAGUAGACACUUUGGGCGGGGAGAUAUGGGUUACUGUAUGGUGAGGGGGAGUUCAGUUCAGUAAAAUGAACUCCUUUAGUGAAGCACUCUUGACCCAAAUGAAGCUGUUUUGGGAAGGCAGUGGCGGGCGGGGAUGGGAAUUCUGUUUUUGAGCACUUUGCCGCCCUCCAAAACUAGAAGCUGGGUUCUCUGAACUGGGGCGCGGGGGAAGACAGGAUUCAGCUAAGGGUGGUUGCACCGUACCAUUCCCAUGGCUGGCUGGGGGGUGAAAGCAAGAAGAAGUAUCUUCCCCUCCCACUACUACUGCCAAUCCUUCAGCUCAGGACUGCCCUUGGUCCUGGCAGUUCGCCCUGGACCGCAGUUAAUUCGAACCGGGGGUAAGCGGAUGCUUGGGCGGGGAGAGAGGAAUUGACGCGAGUCACGGCUCGGGGUGCAGCUAUUACCAGUUUCUUCUUAUGGGCGGGGGCGCCUUCGAGCACAAUUCAUGCUUUUCUAUGGACUCUUUGCUGGCUAGCUAGAGGAGGACUAGAACCUGCAUGGGAGUUUCCAACAAAAAUAAUUCUCUUGUGCUUUGUCACGUGUGGGAAGUCAUGGCUAGGGGCAGUCUAAGAAACCAGCAAAGUCAUUUUGCAUAGAUUACGCUUCUAAGCGAGUUCAAGAAAUUAAAUAUAUGUAAUAGAAUUUUGUAUUAAUUAACGUGCUUGCAAAAGGGAAGUAAAAGAACGCUUUGAAAUGUGUAGAAUUUCAACUUCAAAAAUUAAUCAUUUUGUAUAAUACCCGUAUGUGUUUAAUUUGAAUCUGAGAAAAACUGCUUUUCUUGA